UACCAGCACCCCGAGUGGUCGGGACGAUUAUUGGGCCUAAAGCAUCCGUAGCCGGUCCUACAAGUCUUCCGUUAAAUCCACCUGCUCAACAGAUGGGCUGCGGAAGAUACUAUAGGGCUAGGAGGCGGGAGAGGCAAGCGGUACUCAGUGGGUAGGGGUAAAAUCCUCUGAUCCAUUGAAGACCACCAGUGGCGAAGGCGGCUUGCCAGAACGCGCUCGACGGUGAGGGAUGAAGCCCUGGGGCGCAAACCGG
rnacentral:rRNA from 1 species